ensembl:lncRNA
GUGUUAGGGAGGAAGGCCAGAUACCAGGGAGGAGUCUCCUCCGUGUCCUGUGUAUGACAACGUCUCAGCUCUGACCAAUCGAUCGGCUUCUGCAGCACAGAGAGAACCAAUAGAAGAGCAGGAUGACCCUCACUAUGCCAGCAUCCACAUCUCUCGCUCUAAAAACCAGGAAGUGCCUUGUGGGUUUGCUGGUGCUCUGGUAGAGUCUGAUCAUACAGAGCAGGUCCUUUACUCUGCUAUCAACCUUAAUAGACCCAAGGCUGUCCCUGACGACAGUAAACUGAUGUCAGAGUUGUAUACCACCAUCAAAUAUAUGUCCCAGAAAAUGCAUUAUUUUUAUAUAGAUUCAGCUUUAAAUGGGUUUUAAUACAAUUUCUAGCAAUAAAAUUGUAUGUUAUGGUCAUAAUCUUCGUUCAGCAUUUGUAUAGUUUGUUUUGUUUGUUAGUUACUUAGAAUAUUCUUCUCGUCAGAAAAAAAAAAGACACUUGCUAUCAUAAUUGCUUUGUUGGAUGAUGUGGGAGCUGCAAUCACUGAUAACCAAACAUGGGUCACAUUUAUUUUAUUCUCAGUGGAAAAUGUAAUAUUCUGUGUGUUUCGGCAAUAAAGUCAAGUGUGUUUGAAAACA